GAUGAACGCUGGCGGCGUGCCUAAUACAUGCAAGUCGAGCGAACAGACGAGGAGCUUGCUCCUCUGACGUUAGCGGCGGACGGGUGAGUAACACGUGGAUAACCUACCUAUAAGACUGGGAUAACUUCGGGAAACCGGAGCUAAUACCGGAUAAUAUAUUGAACCGCAUGGUUCAAUAGUGAAAGACGGUUUUGCUGUCACUUAUAGAUGGAUCCGCGCCGCAUUAGCUAGUUGGUAAGGUAACGGCUUACCAAGGCGACGAUGCGUAGCCGACCUGAGAGGGUGAUCGGCCACACUGGAACUGAGACACGGUCCAGACUCCUACGGGAGGCAGCAGUAGGGAAUCUUCCGCAGAGGGCGAAAGCCUGACGGAGCAACGCCGCGUGAGUGAUGAAGGUCUUCGGAUCGUAAAACUCUGUUAUUAGGGAAGAACAAAUGUGUAAGUAACUAUGCACGUCUUGACGGUACCUAAUCAGAAAGCCACGGCUAACUACGUG
rnacentral:rRNA from 1 species